rnacentral:tRNA from 1 species
GAUGUGUUUCAAUGGUAGAACACUCGCCUGGCAUGUGUGAGGCCCUGGAUUCAAACCCCAGCAUC